GUGCUCCCUUCGGCAGCAUAUAUACUAAAAUUGGAAAGAUACAGAAAAGAUUAGCAUGACCCCUGCGCAAGGAUGACACGAAAAUUCGUGAAGCGUUCCAUAUAAAA
ensembl:snRNA U6 U6 spliceosomal RNA